AUCACUUUAUCAGGCAACGAGAUUCUGCUUUUCUGAGAGGCCAGCCACUAACCCUGAGGUCCCUCGUGGCCUCUGCAGAGCGCUGCUCGGUCUCCCGAGACAUCAGUGACAGCUCAUCUGCGUUUCAUCAGCUCGCUGGGCCCCGGUGCCAGGGCCUCCCCGGCGUCAACAACAAGUGUCGCACCUACUGCAGGAACAGCCCUCAAGUUUCAUCACAGUGAUGCUAAAAAACAUUCUCCAGCUUCAGCAAUGACCUAGUUCAUUCGAGGGCAGGGAAAAAUGCUCUCCUUCCAGAACUCCCCUGGGCACGGAAUUCUCCCUCUUAGGAAGAGAGGAGCUUUUCUGGGAACAGACCCAACUGUGCUUUGACCCGAUCGUGGACAAGACCCUGAGCCCCGUAGCUCCUCUGAGUCCCCAGGCCCAGGAACAGGGACGCCCAAUCAAUGCCUCCCACGCAGCCCGGGGAGCCCACUGCCGAGCCAGCUCUCCUAUCACGUCUCUGGGACAAAAAGUACUGAAAAAUCCACGUGGCAUGAGAGGAUGACGGACUCAGGAGGGCCUCAGAGGCGCACACUGUGUUUCUUAUCCAUGCUGCUCUCCCAGAAGGUUCCUGAGAAGUCAGACACCGUGCUUCGCUGCAUAAUAUCUGGUCAGCCCAAGCCAGAGGUAACAUGGUAUAAAAAUGGUCAAACCAUAGAAGAGGGCGACAUUAUUUCCAGUUAUGAAUUCUUCGAGAAUCAGUAUAUCCAUUUGUUACAUCUCUAUGGGUAAGUGGAUGAGCCUCUGUGGACUGUCUACUAAGAUCCCGGUAUCCUGUCAUGUGCUGGUUACCAAAAGACGGGCUCCUGUUUGCUUUUUGAGUCUCAGUUAGAUGCUAUUGGCAGGCAUCAGCCUAGGCAUCCGGCAACGAGUCAAUGAGGAUCCACCUGGUAAUUGAUCAUAUCCUUCUAUUUGCUGCCAUUGAUGGAAUCACAACUUUAUCUAGAAUUUUAUUCAAGGUGGUCCAGCCAUUUUCAUUCAUUAAACGAGCUUUUCAUUUAAUCUUCUCUCUGGAAAGUUAAGAAGCACAAUAGGAUUUCAGCAUUGUCAUCCAGUCUUUCUUGUAUAAGAACGGAAGGAAGAAGUGGCUGACCAGGAUCCCACAGCAAAUUGGUGAUGGAAUUAUUCUAGGAAGCAGCAUGGUCCAGCACAGUGGUUUCUAAUUCCAUUUUGUUCCCCCUAGUAAAAGUUGGAUGAAAUCAGGAAGGCCCACAUGUGAAGUAGAGAAAAUGAGAACUUCUCUGCUUGAAGCUGGGUGGGUGUCUGUGUUCUUGGUCCCCAUUGCUACCGAAUUGGUCUUGAUGUCCCUUAUGGGGGCUGAGGAGCCUGAGGUUCUGCAGAGCAUGCUAUGACAAUGACGGGCAGGCACGGUCACGUGCCAGUAGCCUUGGAUCUGAGAAUAACAAAGUAAGGCUUGGGUCUGAAUUCUGGCUCCACCAUUUUCUGGCUGGGUGAUGUUGGCCAGUUAUUUACCCUCCCCAAGUCUCAAUUUCUCCAAAUAAAAGGGUGGCUAAGAAAAUGAAAUGAUGUAAUGCUCAUAAAAGGUUUGUUACGUAGUAGUAAUUCAAUAAACACUAGCUUUCUUAUC